rnacentral:rRNA from 1 species
UACGUAGGGCGCAAGCGUUGUCCGGAAUUAUUGGGCGUAAAGAGCUCGUAGGCGGUUUGUCGCGUCUGUCGUGAAAGCUUGGGGCUUAACCCCAAGUCUGCGGUAGAUACGGGCAGACUAGAGGCAGGUAGGGGAGAACGGAAUUCCCGGUGUAGCGGUGAAAUGCGCAGAUAUCGGGAGGAACACCGGUGGCGAAGGCGGUUCUCUGGGCCUGUACUGACGCUGAGGAGCGAAAGCGUGGGGAGCGAACAGG